GAUGAACGCUAGCUACAGGCUUAACACAUGCAAGUCGAGGGGCAGCAGGAUGUAGCAAUACAUUGCUGGCGACCGGCGCACGGGUGAGUAACACGUAUCCUACCUGCCUUUUACUCGGGGAUAGGCUUUCGAAAGAAAGAUUAAUACCCGAUGGUAUAAUAUUUCCGCGUGGGAUUAUUAUUAGAGAAUUACGGUAAAAGAUGGGGAUGCGUUCCAUUAGGUAGUUGGCGAGGUAACGGCCCACCAAACCUUCGAUGGAUAGGGGUUCUGAGAGGAAGGUCCCCCACAUUGUAACUGAGACACGGGCCACACUCCUACGGGAGGCACCACUGAGGAAUAUUGGUCAAUGGGCGGAAGCCUGAACCAGCCAAGUAUCGUGAAGGAUGACUGCCCUAUGGAUUGUAAACUUCUUUUAUAGGGGAAUAAAGUGAGCCACGUGUGGCUUUUUGUAUGUACCCUAUGAAUAAGGAUCGGCUAACUCCGUGCCAGCAGCCGCGGUAAUACGGAGAGAUCCGAGCGUUAUCCGGAUUUAUUGUGUUUAAAGGGAGCGUAGGUGGACAUGUAAGUCAGUUGUGAAAGUUUGCGGCUCAACCGUAUGAUUGCAGUUGAUACUGUGUGUCUUGAGUACAAUACAGGUGGACGGAAUUCUUGAUGUAUCGGUGACAUGCUUAUAUAUCACAAACAACUCCGAUUGCGAAGGCUGCUCACUGUACUGUUACUGACACUGA
rnacentral:rRNA from 1 species